rnacentral:lncRNA from 1 species
GAAUCGAGGAAAAGAUUGAUUUUGUAUUACAGUUCGCGAACCAUAACUUUGGGUAAGGAAUACUGUUAACUCGGGAGAAUUCUAUUAGGCAUUCUCGGGUUCCGUGGUUCUAGCACGGUCGCCCAACUGUUAUGAUUGGCCUAAUUAUCUGAUUUUAAAAUAUUUUGAACCUAUACACAUUUUUACUUUAACCGCUUUUAUUCGUCUUAAAGAAGAUUUAACGUCGUCUAAACAUGUCUUUGGAUCGCGCCACAUGAAAUACACCCAUAAUCCGAAA